GGUGAUGUAGCUCAGGGGAAUGAGCGUCCGGCUUUAACUCAGGAGUACGGAAGGUCGCUGGUUCAAAUCCAGCCGUCACUG
rnacentral:tRNA from 1 species